rnacentral:lncRNA from 1 species
ACCGCGGCGCUGGGGGUUCCUCCCGGCGAGACUGGCGGGGCUGCGGCGGCUAGGAGAGUGAUGCCAUGGAGCACAGUGGUGGAUAAGGAAGACAUGGUCUGGCCGUAACAAUUUUGAAAUCUAAUGAAGCAGAUUAAAAAGAUAAGUACUUACAAUAAAAGUGUGGAAAUUCUAACAAUAGGGGAAGUAUAGGGCAGUAUGUGAUCACUUGGCAGCCAAACUUCUUGCUUCCUAUGUAAGACUCUCACAGUCAGACUGGAGCUGCACAUCUCUGCCGCUGCACAACACAUGGAGAAUAGUCUGCUGUAUCCUAGCCUUGCCAAGCCCUUUCAGGACCCCAUGUCUUUACUGGAUUGCCUGUCCACUUCCCCACGCCCCCGACCCUCAUCCCCGCAUAUUAUUUUGUAACAUAUUUCUUCAUGGUAUCCCAGCUUUAAAGUCUUCAAUGAAACCUUUUAAACUCCUACAGUUAUUGUAUAUGUUGUGUUUCCACAUUUCUUUAUUUAGAUGCCUCUAAUAGCAAGAAAAGUUAUAUUGUAGUUUAUUAACUUAUUUACUGCAUCUCUCAAUAUCCUGAGCUCCUAAAGGAACUCCUGAAAGUUCCUCAGCACUUAGCGUGACAACUAGUACAUAGUACCUGCUGUAUUCUAUAAAUGUCCUUUAUGUGAGUAAGUCAGUGUAAAUGUUUUGGUGCAGCAUUAUACUUUGGUAAAAUAGUACUAUGUUAAUAUUACUAACAUUUACAUUUAUUCCUAAGAAAGGAAACCAUAAGAAUAAUUCAUGGUUAUAUUUUCUAGAGACUAGGCUUGUUUCGUCCAGUAUGGUACUCAAUAGCCAUAUAAAGCUAUUUACAUUUAAAUUAAUUAAGAUUAAAUACAAUUGAUAAUGUGGUCCUUCAGUUGCACUAGCCACAUUUCAGAUUCUCAGUAGUCACAUGUGCCUCAUGGCUAUCAUAUGGGAUAGUUUAGAAAAACAUCUUCGUCUUCACAGAAAGUUUUAUUGUACAGCUCUGGUCUAGACCUUUGAUGGGAUGCACAUUUGUUCAGACUCUGAGAUCAUAUAACUUAAAUAUCUCCACCUAGCAACCAUAUACUCUAACUACAUUUUCAGUUAUUUUGAAUGGGUAAUAAGCAUUUGAAUGGAGGAUAUUUCAGUGUUGGCUGAUAUCUGAUAUUAAGUAGAGCUUUAAUCAAUACAGUGCAUGCCUAGAAUAAUGGUAAGAAUCCCAAGUGGCUAUUUAAUAACAGAUGAGAGAUUCUUUUGAAGAGCAAGCUUUGUGUAGACUUGGGAAAUAGAAUUUCCAUUCUCUACAAAAUAUUGUAAUAGUUGUGUUUGUGUCUACAAACUUAAGUUGAAUUUUGAUAUGUAGAUGAUGGGGGAGGAUUGAUGGUGUCUUCAGCUGCACUCUGUACAUGAUUUGUGACACUAUCCUUAGACUCACUUUAAAAUAUGAAGGGCAAUAAAAUAUUGCCACAUUUAUAAUUUGAAUUGAUGGCUACCCUGAUAGCAUAUCAAGUGUGAUCUGGUAAAGUUCCUCCAUGAUAAAUUUUAAAAAAAUAAAAUUUGAAGCAUUUUUUCCUUGUCUGUCAAGAAAAUACAACUGUAAACUUUGAAAUACUUUUCCUGGUUCAACUAGGAAAAUAAAACUAAGUAACUACAAUUGGGUAUUGUCAAGCAAAUCAGUAUUCACUGUUUGUCACAUAGGGAAAUUACCAAGACAUAGUGUUAAUUGUGUCACUGACAUUAUCCUAUUGUAAUGAAGGAUUUAAAAAUUAUUUUAAUCCCAUAAUCAAAAAUGGUAGUGAACAUCCAAACAUAGCAAAUAUUAGUGCCUUAGGAAAACACUAUGAUUCAUGAGUAGAAGGAGAGGAAAAAGACCACUGAAAAAGAGGAAAGUAAUUAGAGCAGCAAAAAAUUAUAGACGAAGGAUAGUUAACAAUAACUCUACAGAGUUAAGGACAAGGAAAAUAAUGCAGAACCACUGGCUAUUACAGCAAAAAGGCUAUGCCUUUUACUUUAUUUAUUUAUUUAUUUAUUUUUAAAAAUAGAGAUGAGAUCUUGCUCUGUUGCCCAGGCUGGUUUCAAACUCCUGGCCUCAAGUGAUUCUCCCACCUUGGCCUCCUUAAGUUCUGAUUUUACAGGUGUGAGCCAUCGUGCCCAGCCAGGCUGUGACUUUUAACAGGGGAUUGUUUCUUUUUUUCCUGCCAUGGUUGCAAUAGAAGUCAGAUUGUAAGAGCAUAAAGAAGCCAUAUUAGUGUGGAGACAAAAGUGACUCCACCUUAAAUGCUAAUCUGCUAUAAUGAUUUUUGAGUAUCCUCAGUCCCAUGAAUGCCUCCUGAUUCCUACUUUAUUUACUGUCCCUAGAGAAAGAACAUGUCAAUCUUGAUGUUAUCCCACAGUUUACAGACUAUGAUGAAUAUAUAGCAUUGUUGCCUGUUCUGGAGGAUUGCCUUUAAUUAUCUUGCAUAGAGAGCACUUAUACCCUUUCACUGUAGUAUAUAAGCUCUGGGUUGGGAGGUAACAGGUUUAGAGAUCUACCUGUCUUGCUGCUGCCCAAGACCACACUUCCGUCUGUAAGUUACCUCCAUCACUGACAAACUGGAUUUUUCUACCUCAUUCUUUGAUUUCUCAGCUCCUCUGGCAUUUGGGGGGAACUUUGCAUAUAUGGUGGCCCUUUCACAGAACAGUCAGCAUUCUCCAGAGUAACAGAGAGAUUAUAGUAAUUGGCCCAUGUGAUUAUGGAGGCUGAGAAGUCCCAUGAUCUGCAAGCUGGAGAACCAUAGAAGUUGGUGGUGUAGUUCAGUCUGAGUUUGAAGGUCUGUGAACCAGGAGUGCUGAUGUCCGAGAGGAGGAGAAGAUGGCUGUUCAGCUCAAGCAGAAAGCUAAUUCACUGUUCUCUGCCUCUUUGUUUCAUUCAAGCCCUCAAGGGAUGGUAUAAUGCCUACCCAAAUGGGUGAGAGCGUCUUUUUUACUCAGUCUACCAAUUCAGAUACAAGUCUCUUCUGUAAACACCUUCACAGACAUACCCAGAAAUAAUGUUUUACCAGAUAUUUGGGCAUCCUUUAGCCCAGUCAAACUGACACAUAAAAUUAACUGUCAUAGAAGGACUACCUCGUUAGCAACUAAGAACAAUGGGACUUAGAACAAAGACCUCAUCAGGUAUUAAAUUGGAAGAAGAUACAUUAAUGAAAAGAAAUGUUAUGGUACUGUUGAAGAUGGAGGCAGCAAGACCCUCCGAGGCUAUAGAAAAAAUAGCGUAAUAAACCCAGAAAGGCUCUUCAAGAUAUCUAUGUUAGUGUUCUACCUAACACAGCAAUAAUUUCUUUGCAAAGCCCCUGGCAGAUUAUUUAGUUUUGCUUGGAUCCUUAAGGUGAUGAAGUGUUCCCUUUUUAGCAAGGUAAAUGAAUCUGUUUUUGGACAGAUGUAACUCUUAGAAAUUUCUUCCUUGUACUGCUAAAGCAAGGUCUGUUUCCCUGUAGCUUCCAUAUGGUUUCCUUAAGUGAUAAACAGACUGACUGUAAUAUAUCUUUCCUAUGACAGCCCUCCAAAUAUCUGAAGUAUGUCCCUCCUGUUUUCUUUUUUUAAGUUAAGCAUCCCAGAUACUUCAAUUUAUAUCUCCUCACAAGAUUGCCAGACCUCUUAAUAUUUUGGCUGCCCAAUCAGAAUAAAGUUGUUGAACUCUAGUUUGCCAGUGUCAAUUUUAAAAAGUAAUGUCCAGAAGGAAUUUUGUAUUUUGCAUGUAGUCUGACUGGAACAGAUAAGAGACAGUGAAAUUAAUUUUGUUAGAUAUUUUACACUUGUUAAUUGGACUCUUGGCCUAAACUGAACUGUAAUGAAUGUACCUGUCUGGUAUUUAUCUAAAUUGCCAUCAAACCAGGUUUAGUCUAUUCUGUAGCUGAAAAAAUUAAUUUUAUUUGAUAAAUUUUACCUUGUUCGUUUUGAUCCAUUCAUUCAUUUAUUCAUUCAUUGUUUCAACAAAUACUUUUUGAGGUCAGCAUUGUGGCAGUCUUCGUUAUGCCCUGAGAUUACCAGAAAGUACAGGUUAUUCCAAUUAGUUGAACAACUUGAGAUCAUUUUAAAAUGUAAAUCUAAUAUUCAACAUUGUUAUUUUUACAUCACCUGUCAUCUAUAAAUUUCAUAAACAUGAUUGUAUCUUUAUUCAGUUAAUAACAAGAUUAAAAAAUCAAGGACAUAUUGUGAUAAGCUGGUGAUUUUGAAUCAUCAGGAUUCUAGAUUUAAAAGUUUUUGGAGACAGAACAUUUAACGGUGUGAUUUAUUUAUUUUAUAGAAGAGAGUUAAUAUAUAACUUAGAGUUUGAUUGUCUUAAAUACCGUAUUUCUCUUUUUGUCCCAGGGGAAGAUCACAGAAUGCUGCCUUGCUUGUGGAAUUAUAGAAUUCAAAUCUAUCAGUUUUAUAGGGAGUAAUUUUUCAAGACUUACUCUUAAGGAAUUCAUACUGAUUCCUAAUAAUCAUCAUUUUCUUAAUCUAAAUCCUACAAAGCCAUUCAUUUAAUCAUUUGUUUUAGAAUGUUUCCUGCUUUCCUGUAUGUUUCUUUUUCUUCUUACUUUAAAGCAAGGUUUAAACAUCCCUUUUGAUAUUUUUAGGUUUUGUCGGGGUGUAGGGAGCAAGGUUAUUCUCACUGUGACCUUUGCCCUGCAGCAGUAAAGCAAUAACUAGCAUCAUUUCUGCUUUGUAUUGUUUUAUCAUUUCUACAUCAUGUUUGUAGGCUGACGAAUGAAGUCAAAUGCUUAUAAAUGCUUUGUAAACUAUAAAAUUCUCCAUUUAUAUAUAUUUCUGCCCCACUUAUUUCUCAUUAAUGUUACUUGUGAUUAUAUUGUCAGAAUUCCUUAGAGCCACAUUUUUGUGAAUAUUGUGCUGCAAAUAUAUUUAUUUGUUUGUAAGCACUAAGUAUUCUUUUGUUCCCAAGAAAACAAAUUCUAUAUGAGUCUUUUCUGGUUCUGUUUUUCUUUUGUUUCAAUCUCUUCACAAUAUUGUAUUUAGAGCCAGAUUUAUCAGCCCCAGGCAUCUCUUGCUUUCCUGUGUCUACUUCUUCACAGUAUAACUCUCAGGCAAAAUGACAAAAAGGCAAAUUCACAAAGGAACCAGUGAGUGUUCUUGUCAGUGCUUGGGUUCCAUUCUCAAAUAAGCUGAAAGUUCUUCUAUUUCAUCAACAGAAUGUGAUUUAAAGGGAUAUAUUGCCAGCUUGUAUCACUGCUAAACAGUGGUGUGUCACUGUAGAGCAAAUAGUCACAAGAAUACAUUCUCAGGAAAUAUACAGUUAUAUCUAUGCUUUCUGCCAAGCAAGGAGAAACGCAGACUGGCUCAAAUCUCCAGAAACGACUUGCAUCCUUCUUUAUUUCUUACACCUUUUCUUUUCUUCAUCUCCUAUUUCUUCUUUCCCCAUGUCCUCCUCCUGCUUUCACAAUUUCCUUCUCCUCCUUAUUCUCCUUCUCUUUCACCUCCCCGUCUUCUUCCUUACGCGUUGAUUAUGCCAGUAAGAUGAUAUCUUGUAAAGAAAUGGAAUACUUUUAGCAGAUGCCACACUAUAGCCACAGUAGUGACAUCUGGAAUUUGUCAAAAGCCACAGUUGGCAUCCCUAAAAUUCACCUGCCUGGAUUCUGUUCUGAGAAGAUUGUGUCUGCAAGAAAGUCUGGCCAAGUUCCUAAAAGAGGCAAAAUCAAGGAUAGAUGGCAUCUAUCCUAGUUCACGUGAAGGUUAAAAGCGUCUUCAGAUCCCCUGAAAGAUUUUGGAGAAUUUCCUGAUUGGCACUUUGAAAACUGCUGCUGUAACCAAUUCUGUGAUGACUGCUGACUUGAUGUAAGCAUUUAGUUAUAAAUAAUGAAUCAGGAAACAAAGGGCCAAUAAUGACAUAAUGAACUCCUUAAGACAAAAUAGACUGAAGCAUGAUUAUAGGUCAAGAGGAACACAUAUUUGAUAAGGAAGAGCCUGGGGAAUAAUUGAUGGGAAUCUUGGAGUAGACCAGAAGAGAGAGGAUCAGGAGUAGAGACUGGAGGGAGACGACCCAUUCAUUCCUGGAGGAAGGGAAGCUGAAAUUGAAAUGUUAAAUUAAAAAUGGACAGGAAUGAUCUCCGUUCCAAGAUGACCGAAUAAGAACAGCUCCGGUGUGCAGCUCCCAGUGUGAUCGACACAGAAGACAGGUGAUGUCUGCAUUUCCAAUGGAAGCACCUGGUUCAUCUCACUGGGACUGGUUGGACAGUGGGUGCAGCCCAUGGAGGGUGAGCCAAAGCAGGUUGGGGUGUCACCUCACCUGGGAGGUGCAAGGGGUCGGGGGAUUCCCCUUUCAUAGCCAAGGGAAGUGGUGACAGACUGUUCCUGGAAAAACUGGACACUCCCGCCCAAAUACUGCACUUUUCCCAUGAUCUUAGCAACUGGCAGACCAGGAGAUGCCCUCCUGUGCCUGGCUUGGUGGGUACCGCCCCCAUGGAACCUUGCUCACUGUCAGUGCAGCAGUCUGAGAUCGACCUGCAAGGCAGCAGCCUGCUGGCGGGAGGGGAGUCUGCAAUUGCUGAGGCUUGACUAGGUAAACAAAGCUGCCAGGAAGUUCAAACUGGGUGGAGCCCACCACAGCUCAGUAAUGCCUACUGCCUCUGUAGACUCCACAUCUGUGGGCAGGGCAUAGCUGAACAAAAGGCAGCAGAAGCUUCUGCAGACUUCAACGUCCCUGUCUGACAGUUCUGAAGAGAGCAGUGGUUCUCCCAGCAGGGCAUUUGAGCUCUGAGAAUGGACAGAGUGCCUCCUCAAGUGGGUCCCUGACCCCCGUGUAGCCUAACUGGGAGACAUCUCCCAGUAGGGGCCAACAGAUACCUCAUGCAGACAGGUGCCCCUCUGGGAAGAAGCUUCCAGAGGAAGGAUCAGGCAGAAAUAUUUGCUGUUCUGUAAUAUUUGCUGUUCUGCACCCUCUGCUGGUGAUACCCAGGCAAACAGGGUCUGGAGUGGAGCUCCAGCAAACUCCAGCAGGGACAAGCAGUUCCCUGCAGCUGAGGGACCUGACUGUUAGAAGGAAAACUAACAAACAGAAAGUAAUAGCAUCAACAUCAAUAAAAAGGACAUCCACACCAAAACCCCAUCUGUAGGUCACCAACAUCGAAGACCAAAGGUAGAUAAAACCACAAAGAUGGGGAGAAAGCAGAGCAGAAAAACUGAAAAUUCCAAAAACAGAGCACAUCUUCUCCUCCAAAGGAUCACAGCUCCUCACCAGCAAUGGAACAAAGCUGGACAGAGAAUGACUUUGACAAGUUGACAGAAGUAGGCUUCAGAAGGUUGGUAAUAACAAAUUUCUCCAAGCUAAAGGAGCAUGUUCUAACCCAUUGCAAGGAAGCUAAAAACCUUGAAAAAAGGUUAGGUGAAUGGCUAACUAGAAUAAACAGUGUAGAGAAGACCUUAAAUGACCUGAUGGAGCUGAAAACCAUGGCACAAGAACUUCGUGACACAUGCACAAACUUCAAUAGCUGAUUCGAUCAAGUGGAAGAAAGGAUAUCAGUGACUGAAAAUCAAAUUAAUGACAUAAAGCAAGAUGACAAGAUUGGAGAAAAAAGAGUAAAAGGAAACAAACAAAUCCUCCAAGAAAUAUGGGGCCAUGUGAAAAGACCAAAUCUAUGUUUGAUUGUUGUACCUGAAAGUGACGGGGAGAAAGGAACCAAGUUGGAAAACACUUUUGAGGAUAUUAUCCAGGAGAACUUCUCCAACUAGCAAGGCAGACCAACAUUCAAAUUCAGGAAAUACAGAGAACACCACAAAGAUACUCCUUGAGAUGAGCAGUCCCAAGACACAUAAUCAUCAGAUUCACCAAGAUGAAAUCAAGGAAUAAAUGUUAAGGGCAGCCAGAGAGAAAGGUCGGGUUACCCACAAAUGGUAGCCCAUCAGACUAACAGUGGAACUCUUGGCAGAAACUUUAUAAGCCAGAAGAGAGUGGAGGCCAAUAUUCAACAUUCUUAACCAAAAGAAUUUUCAACCCAGAAUUUCAUCUCCAGCCAAACUAAGCUUCAUAAGUGAAGGAGAAAUAAAAUCCUUUACCGACAAGCGAAUGCUGACAGAUUUUGUCACCACCAGGCCUGCCUUACAAGAGCUCCUGAAGGAAGCAGUAAACAUGGAAAGGAACAACCGGUACCAGCCACUGCAAAAACAUGCCAAAUUAUAGAGACCAUCAAUUCUAUGAAGAAAUUGCAUGAAAUAAUGGGCAAAAUAACCAGCUAACGUCAUAAUGACAAGAUCAAAUUCACACAUAACAAUAUUAACCUUAAAUGUAAAUGGGCUAAAUGCCACAAGUACAAGACACAGACUGGCAAAUUUGAUAAAGAGUCAAGACCCAUCAGUGUGUUGUAUUCAGGAGACUCAUCUCACAUGCAGAGACACACACAGGCUCAAAAUAAAGGGAUGGAGGAAGAUCUACCAAGCAAAUGGAAAGCAAAAAAAAAGCAGGGGUUGCAAACCUAGUCUCUGAUAAACCAGACUUUAAACCAACAAAGAUCAAUAGAGACAAUGAAGGCCAUUACAUAAUGGUAAAGGGAUCAAUUCAACAAGAAGAGCUAACUAUCCUAAAUAUAUAUGCACCCAAUACAGGAGCACCCAGAUUCAUAAAGCAAGUCCUUAGAGACCUACAAAGAGACUUAGACUCCCACACAAUAAUAAUGGGAAACUUUAACACCCUACUGUCAAUAUUAGAAAAAUCAACGAGACAGAAGGUUAACAAGGAUAUACAGGACUUGAACUCAACUCUGCACCAAGUGGACCUAAUAGACAUCUACAGAACUCUCCAUGCCAAAAUCAACAGAAUAUACAUUCUGUAAAAGAACAGAAACCACAACAAACUGUGUCUCAGACCACAGUGCAAUCAAAUUAGAAUUCAGGAUUAAGAAACUCAUUCAAAACUGCUCAACUACAUGGAAACUGAGCAACCUGCCCCUGAAUGACUACUGGGUACAUAAAAAAAUGAAGGCAGGAAAAAAGAUGUUCUUUGAAACCAAUGAGAAAAAAGACAAAAUGUACCAGAAUCUCUGGGACACAUUUAAAGCAGUGUGUAGAGGGAAACUUAUAGCACUAAAUGCCCACAAGAGAAAGCAGGAAAGAUCUAAAAUCGACACCCUAACAUUACAAUUAAAAGAACUAGAGACGCAAGAGCAAACAAAUUCAAAAGCUAGCAGAAGGCAAGACAUAACUAAGAUCAGAGCAGAACUGAAAGAGAUAGAGACACAAAAAACCCUUCAAAAAAUCAAUGAAUCCAGGAGCUGUUUUUCGAAAAGAUCAACAGAAUCGAUAGACUGCUGGCAAGACUAAUAAGAAAAGAAAGAAGAAUCAAAUAGACACAAUAAAAAAUAAUAAAAGGGAUAACACCACCGAUCCCACAAAAAUACAAACUACCAUCAGAGAAUACUAUAAACACCUCUAUGCAAAUAAACUAGAAAAUCUAGAAGAAAUGGAUAAAUUCCUGGACACAUACACCCUCCCAAGGGUAAACCAGGAAGAAGCUGAAUCUCUGAAUAGACCAAUAACAGCCUCUGAAAUUGAGGCAAUAAUUAAUAGCCUACCAAUGAAAAAAAGGCCAGGACCAGAUGAAUUCUACCAGAGGUACAAAGAGGAGCUGGUACCAUUCCUUCUGAAACUAUUCCAAUAGGAAAGAGGGAAUCCUCCCUAAUUCAUUUUAUGAGGCCGGCAUCAUCCUGAUACCAAAACCUGGUAGAGACACAACAAAAAAACAGAAUUUUAGACCAAUAUCCCUGAUGAACAUCGAUGCAAAAAUCCUCAAUAAAAUACUGUCAAACCGAAUCCAGCAGCACGUCAAAAAGCUUAUCCACCACGAUCAACUUGGCUUCAUCCCUGGGAUACAAGGCUGGUUCAACAUACACAAAUCAAUAAACGUAAUUCAUCAUAUAAACAGAACCAGCGAAGAAAACCACAUGAUUAUCUCAAUAGAUGCCAAAAAGGCUUUUGACAAAAUUCAACAGCCCUUCAUACUAAAAACUCUCAAUAAACUAGGUAUUGAUUGAACAUAUCUCAAAAUAAUAAGAGCUAUUUAUAACAAACACGCAGCCAAUAUCAUACUGAAUGGGCAAAAUUUGGAAGCAUUCCCUUUGAAAAGUGCUAUAAGACAAGGAUGCCCUCUCUUACCACUCCUAUUCAACAUAGUGUUGGAAGUUCUGGCCAGGGUAAUCAGGCAAGAGAAAGAAAUAAAAGGUAUUCAGUUAGGAAAUGAGGAAGUCAAAUUGUCCCUGUUUGCAGAUGACAUGAUUGUAUACUUAGAAAACCCCAUUGUCUCAGCCCAAAAUCUCCUUAAGCUGAUAAGCAACUUCAGCAAAGUCUCAGGAUACAAAAUCAAUGUGCAAAAAUCACAAGCAUUCCUAUACACCAAUAACAGACAAACAGAGAGUGAAAUCAUGAGUGAACUCCCAUUCACAAUUGCUUCAAAGAGAAUAAAAUACCUAGGAAUCCAACUUAUAAGGGAUGUGAAGGACCUCAUCAAGGACAACUACAAACCACUGUUCAAUGAAAUAAAAGAGGACACAAACAAAUGGAAGAACAUUCCAUGCUCAUGGGUAGGAAGAAUCAAUAUCGUGAAAAUGGCCAUACUGCCUAAGGUAAUUUAUAGAUUCAAUGCCACCCCCAUCAAGCUACCAAUGACUUUCUUCACAGAAUUGGAAAAAAUUACUUUAAAGUUCAUAUGGAACCAAAAAAACCUGCAUUGCCAAGACAAUCCUAAGCCAAAAGAACAAAGCUGGAGGCAUCACGCUACCUGACUUCAAACUAUACUACAAGGCUAUAGCAACCAAAACAGCAUGGUACUGGUACCAAAACAGAGAUGUAGACCAGUGGAACAGAACAGAGACCUCAGAAAUAAUAAUACACAUCUACAACCAUCUGAUCUUUGACAAACCUGACAAAAACAAGAAAUGGGGAAAUGAUUUCCUACUUAACAAAUGGUGCUGGGAAAACUGGCUAGCCAUAUGUAGAGAGCUGAAACUGGAUCCCUUUCUUACACCUUAUACAGAAAUUAAUUCAAGAUGGAUUAAAGACUUUAAUGUUGAACCUAAAACCAUAAAAACCCUAGAAGAAAACCUAGGCAAUACCAUUCAGGACAUAGGCAUGGGCAAAAACUUCAUGACUAAAACACCAAAAGCAAUGGCAACAAAAGCCAAAAUAGACAAAUGGGAUCUAAUUAACCUAAAGAGCUUCUGCACAACAAAAGAAACUACCAUCAGAGUGAACAGGCCACCUAUAGAAUGGCAGAAAAUUUUUGCAUAGUACCCAUCCAACAAAGGGCUAAUAUCCAGAAUCUACAAAGAACUUAAACAAAUUUACAAGAAAAAAACAAACAACCUCAUCAAAAAGUGGGCAAAGGAUAUGAACAGACACUUCUCAAAAGAAGACAUUUAUGAAGCCAAAAAACGUGAAAAAAUGCUCAUCAUCAGAGAAAUGCAAAUCAAAACCACAAUGGAAUACCAUCUCACACCGGUUAGAAUGAAGAUCAUUAAAAAGUCAGGAAACAACAGAUGCUGGAGGGGAUGUGGAGAAAUAGGAACGCUUUUGCACUGUUGGUGGGAGUGUUAAUUAGUUCAAUCAUUGUGGAAGGCAGUAUGGUGAUUCCUCAAGGAUCUAGAACUAGAAAUACCAUUUGACCCAGCGAUCCUAUUACUGGGUAUAAACCCAAAGGAGUAUAAAUCAUGCUGCCAUAAAGACACAUGCACACGUAUGUUUAUUGCAGCACUACUCACAAUAGCAAAGACUUGGAACCAACCCAAAUGUCCAUCAGUGAUAGACUGGAUUAAGAAAUUGUGGCAUAUAUACCCCAUGGAAUACUAUGCAGCCAAAAAAAGGAUGAGUUCGUGUCCUUUGUAGGGACAUGGAUGAAGUUGGAAACCAUCAUUCUCAGCAAACUGUCACAAGGACAGAAAACAAACACUGCAUGUUCUCACUCAUAGGUGGGAAUUGAACAUUGAGAACACGUGGGCACAGGGAGGGGAACAUCACACACUGGGGCCUGUCAGGGGGAGGGGGACUAGGGGAGAGAGAUAGCAUUAGGAGAAAUACCUAAUGUAAAUGAUGAGUUGAUGGGUGCAGCAAACCAGCAUGGCACAUAGAUAACUACGUAACAAACCUGCACGUUCUGCACAUGUACCCUGGAACUUAAAGUAUAAUAAAAAAAAUGGACAAUGAUUU